rnacentral:rRNA from 2 species
CCUGAAGGUGCGGCUGGAUCACCUCCUUUCUA